GAAGGGAAACCGAGUCUUAACUGGGCGUUAAGUUGCAGGGUAUAGACCCGAAACCCGGUGAUCUAGCCAUGGGCAGGUUGAAGGUUGGGUAACACUAACUGGAGGACCGAACCGACUAAUGUUGAAAAAUUAGCGGAUGACUUGUGGCUGGGGGUGAAAGGCCAAUCAAACCGGGAGAUAGCUGGUUCUCCCCGAAAGCUAUUUAGGUAGCGCCUCGUGAAUUCAUCUCCGGGGGUAGAGCACUGUUUCGGCAAGGGGGUCAUCCCGACUUACCAACCCGAUGCAAACUGCGAAUACCGGAGAAUGUUAUCACGGGAGACACACGGCGGGUGCUAACGUCCGUCGUGAAGAGGGAAACAACCCAGACCGCCAGCUAAGGUCCCAAAGUCAUGGUUAAGUGGGAAACGAUGUGGGAAGGCCCAGACAGCCAGGAUGUUGGCUUAGAAGCAGCCAUCAUUUAAAGAAAGCGUAAUAGCUCACUGGUCGAGUCGGCCUGCGCGGAAGAUGUAACGGGGCUAAACCAUGCACCGAAGCUGCGGCAGCGACACUGUGUGUUGUUGGGUAGGGGAGCGU
rnacentral:rRNA from 1 species